GAUGAGAUUGCUUCUGUAAAUUGCCUUGUGUGCUGACAGCGUGGUUACAUGUGAGUGAGAUGGGCGCCUGCUGUUAGCAACACAGGAUGUAGUGAAGUUCUUGGUACCCGUGACAAUCUGUACUACCUCAGAUCAGGGACAGAAAAUAACCAUAUGGAAGGACCCGGACUUUCUCUCUCUCUCCCUUUAGUCACUUAAGGAAUUCUCACGGGAUGAUGGCAAAUGCUGGAACACAUCUGGACCACUGAAUGGUCUUGCUCCUACAGCCUAUGGUUUGUGGCCAAUUAGAGAAAGUUAUUUGAACUGGGAAUGAGGCACAUCCUCCGACAUAGGAGAGUUUCAUGUUCUAUCAUUGUACCGUUAGGUCUCGUUCUGUCAUGGUACCGUUAGGUCUUCUUCUGUCAUGGAACUGUUAGGUCUUCUUCUGUCAUGGAACCGUUAGGUCUCGUUCUGUCAUGGUACCAUUAGAUCUCGUUUUGUCAUGGUACCGUUAGGUCUCGUUUUGUCAUGGUACCGUUAGGUCUCGUUCUGUCAUGGUACCGUUAGGUCUCGUUCUGUCAUGGUACUGUUAGCUUUCGUUCAAUUAUGGUACCGUUAGGUCUCGUUCUGUCAUGGUACCGUUAGGUCUCGUUCAGCCAUGGUACCGUUAGGUCUCGUUCAGCCAUGGUACCGUUAGGUCUUCUUCUGUCAUGGAACCGUUAGGUCUCGUUCUGCCAUGGUACCGUUAGGUCUCGUUCUGUCAUGGUACCGUUAGGUCUCGUUCUGCCAUGGUACCGUUAGGUCUUCUUCUGUCAUGGAACCGUUAGGUCUCGUUCUGUCAUGGAACUGUUAGGUAUUGUUUUGUCACGGAACUGUUAGGUCUCGUUCAAUUAUGGUACCGUUAGGUCUUGUUCUGUCUUGGUACCGUUAGGUCUCGUUCCAUUGUGGUACCGUUAGGUCUCGUUCUGUCAUUGUACUGUUAGGUCUACUUCUGUCAUUGUACUGUUAGGUCUCGUUCUGUCAUUGUACUGUUAGGUCUACUUCUGUCAUUGUACUGUUAGGUCUCGUACAGUCAUGGAACCGUUAGGUCUCGUACAGUCAUGGCACCGUUAGGUCUCAUUCUGACAUGGUACCGUUAGGUCUCGUUCUGACAUGGUACCGUUAGGUCUCGUUCUGACAUGGUACCGUUAGGUCUCGUUCUGACAUGGUACCGUUAGGUCUCAUUCUGUCAUGGUACCGUUAGGUCUCAUUCUGACAUGGCACCGUUAGGUCUCGUUCUGUCAUGGUACCUUUAGGUCUCGUUCUGUCAUGGUACCUUUAGGUCUCGUUCCAUUAUGGUACCGUUAGGUCUCGUUUUGUCAUGGUACCGUUAGGUCUCGUUUUGUCAUGGUACUGUUAGGUCUCAUUCUAUCAUGGCACUGUUAGGUCUCGUUCUGUCAUGGUACCGUUAGGCCUCGUUUUUCCAUGGUACCGUUAGGCCUCGUUCUGUCAUGGUACCGUUAGGCCUCGUUCUGUCAUGGUACCGUUAGGUCUUGUUUUGUCAUGGUACCGUUAGGCCUCGUUCUGUCACGGUACCGUUAGGCCUCGUUCUGUCAUUGUACCGUUAGGCCUCGUUCUGUCAUUGUACCGUUAGGCCUCGUUCUGUCAUUGUACCGUUAGGCCUCGUUCUGUCAUUGUACCGUUAGGUCUCGUUCUGUCAUUGUACCGUUAGGUCUCGUUCUGUCAUUGUACCGUUAGGUCUCGUUCUGUCAUUGUGGUACCGUUAGGCCUCGUUCUGUCAUUGUACCGUUAGGUCUCGUUCUGUCAUUGUGGUACCGUUAGGUCUCGUUCUGUCAUUGUGGUACUGUUAGGUCUCGUUCUGUCAUUGUACCGUUAGGUCUCGUUCUGUCAUUGUACCGUUAGGCCUCGUUCUGUCAUUGUACCGUUAGGCCUCGUUCUGUCAUUGUACCGUUAGGCCUCGUUCUGUCAUUGUACCGUUAGGUCUCGUUCUGUCAUUAUGGUACCGUUAGGUCUCAUUCUGUCAUGGUACCGUUAGGUCUCGUUCUGUCAUGGUACCGUCAGGUCUCGUUCUGCCAUACCGUUAGGUCUCAUUCUGUCAUGGUACCGUUAGGUCUUGUUCUGUCACGGUAUCGUUAGGUCUAGUUCAAUUGUGGUACCGUUAGGUUUCGUUACAUUAUGGUACCGUUAGGUCUCAUUCUGUCAUGGUACCGUUAGGUCUCUUUCUAUCAUGGAACCGUUAGGUCUCGUUCUGUCAUGGUAUAUCUUUCUAAUCAUAAAUUGUGUUUAUACACAUGAUUUGAAGUCAUAUUCAAGAAUAAAGUUAUUUACAUUUUUGCUCGAUAGAUAGAUUAUAUUCUACCAAUUUUAAAAUACUGUAUCCAAAAUGCAAUAAUUGAGAAGAUACAGUCAUACUAAACUAAGACCAGUCUUAUAUUCCCACCUAUCAAAAUAUCUGUCAGGGGAGACAUGAUUACAGAUGACAUGGGUAAAAGUAAAACGUAUAUGAAUAAUCUACGUUUAAAGUGGCAAUAUGUAACGUUUUGGGCGAACUGACCAAAUUCACAUACAAUUGUGAGUUAUAGAUCUAUCCUUCUACUUGAAAGCAAGUCUAAGAAGCUUUCAAGUAGAAGCGGCCACUUAAAAUUAGUGGAUUGCUAUUUCAGCUACACACGUUGCUGACAGGUGUAAAAAAAAAAAUGCACACAGACAUGCAAUCUCCCUAGAUAAACGUUGGCAGUAGAAUGGCCUUCCUGAAGAGCUCAGUGACUUUCAACAUGACACCGUCAUAGGAUGCCACCUUUCCAAUGAGUCAGUUCAUCAAAUUUCUGCCCUGCAAGAGCUGCCCUGGUCACCUGUAAGUGCUGUUAUUGUGAAGUGGAAAAGUCUAGGAGGAACAGUGGCUCAGCCACGAAGUGGUAGGCCACACAAGCUCACUUAACAGGACCGCCAAGUGCUAAAAUCUUCUUUCUUUGGUUGCAACACUCACUAUUGAGUUCCAAACUGCCUCUGGAAGCAACGUCAGCACACUAACUGUUCUUCGGGAGCUUCAUGAAAUGGGUUUCCAUGACCGAGCAGCCGCACACAAGUCUAAGAUUAACAUGCGCAAUGCCAAGCGUGGUGUAAAGCUUGCCGCCAUCGGACUCUGGAGCAGUGGAAAUGCGUUCUCUUGUGUGAUGAAUCACGCUUCACCAUUUGGCAGUCCAACAGACGAAUCUGGGUUUGGCGGAUGCCAGGAGAAUCCUACCUGCCCCAAUGCAUAGUGCCAACUGUAAAUUUUGGUGGAGGAUAAAUAAUGGUCUAGUGUUUUUUUUUUUCUUGGUUGGGGAUAUGCCUCUGAGUUCCAGUGAAGGGAAAUCUAAACGCUACAGCAUACAAUGACAUUCUAAACGAUGCUGCGCUUCCAAUAUUGUGGCAACAGUUUGAAGAAGGCCCUUUCCUGUUUCAGCAAGACAAUGCCCCCGUUGCCAAAGCGAGUUCCAUACAGAAAUGGUUUGUCGAGAUCGGUGUGGAAGAACUUGACUGGCCUGCACAGAGCCCUGACAUCAAUCCCAUCGAACACCUUUGGGAUAAAUUGAAAUGCUGACUGCGAGCCAGGCCUAAUCGCCCAACAUCAGUCCCCGACCUCACUAAUGCUCUUGUGGCUGAAUGGAAGCAAGUCCCUGCAGCAACAUUCCAACAUCUAGUGGAAAGCCUUCCCAGAAGAGUGGAGGCUGUUAAAGCAGCAAAGGGGGGACCAACUCCAUAUUAACGCCCAUGAUUUUGGAAGAAGAUGUUUCGAUCAGCAGGUGUCCACAUACUUUUGCUCAUGUAGUGUAAGUUCUAUGUGUGCUAUUUCUAUGCUUCCCGUUCUUAAGUUUUGUUUCUGCGUCUUUUACUUUUGUUCUUGUUCACCAGCUUCAAACAGCUGAAACAACAACAUUUUUGGUUAUGGAAAAUAUAUUUCACAGCGGUUUAGAUGAUACAAUGAUUCUCUGCACAAUACUAGCUUAUUUUGGCACAUAAACUGAAAUUAGGCAAACUAUUAGAGUUUUAGCAAACAGGAAAUGGCAGAGCGAUUUCUGUAGAGUGCA
rnacentral:lncRNA from 1 species